rnacentral:rRNA from 1 species
UGCGUAGGCGGAAUGAUAAGUUAGUGGUGAAAGCCCCCGGCUCAACCGGGGAACUGCCAUUAAUACUGUCAUUCUUGAGUAUAGUUGAAGUGGGCGGAAUGUAUCAUGUAGCGGUGAAAUGCUUAGAUAUGAUACAGAACACCGAUAGCGUAGGCAGCUUGCUAAACUAUAACUGACGCUCAGGCACGAGAGCGUGGGGAGCAAACAGGAUUAGAUACCCUGGUAGUC